GGACGAACGCUGGCGGCGUGCUUAACACAUGCAAGUUGAACGGGCAUACAUGGAAGCUUGCUGAAGUGUAUGUUAGUAGCGGACGGGUGAGUAAUGCAUGAGGACCUGCCUGCCGGAGGGGGACAACAGUUGGAAACGGCUGCUAAUACCCCGUAUGCCGAGAGGUGAAAGGAAUGGAGACAUUCCGCCGGGAGAGGGACUCAUGUCCUAUCAGCUGGUUGGUGAGGUAACGGCUCACCAAGGCGACGACGGGUAGCCGGCCUGAGAGGGCGACCGGCCACACUGGAACUGAGAGACGGUCCAGACUCCUACGGGAGGCAGCAGUGGGGAAUAUUGGGCAAUGGGGGCAACCCUGACCCAGCGACGCCGCGUGAGGGAAGAAGGCCUUCGGGUCGUAAACUUCUUUUGUACGUGAAGAAGCAGAUGACGGUAGCGUACGAAUAAGUCCCGGCUAACUACGUGCCAGCAGCCGCGGUAAUACGUAGGGGGCGAGCGUUACCCGGAAUCACUGGGCGUAAAGGGAGCGUAGGUGGCCUAACAUGUCAACUGUGAAAACCCGGAGCUCAACUCCGGACUUGCAGUUGAAACUGGUAGGCUUGAGGACGGUAGAGGAAGACGGAACUGCCAGUGUAGGGGUAAAAUCCUUAGAUAUUGGCAGGAACGCCGGUGACGAAGGUGGUUUUCUGGGCCGGUUCUGACACUGAUGCUCGAAAGCCAGGGGAGCGAACGGGAUUAGAUACCCCGGUAGUCCUGGCCCUAAACGAUGUUCACUAGGUGUGGGGAGCGGAAAGCCCUCCGUGCUAAAGCUAACGCGAUAAGUGAACCGUCUGGGGAGUACGCCCGCAAGGGUGAAACUCAAAGGAAUUGACGGGGACCCGCACAAGCGGUGGAGCGUGUGGUUUAAUUCGAUGCUAAGCGAAGGACCUUACCAAGGUUUGACAUGCUAAUGGUAGUGAAUUGAAAGAGGAACGACCACACUAUGUGUGGAGUUAGCACAGGUGGUGCACGGCCGUCGUCAGCUCGUGUCGUGAGGUGUUGGGUUAAGUCCCGCAACGAGCGCAACCCCUGCUCUUAGUUACCAGCGGUAAGGCCGGGUACUCUAGGAGGACCGCCGCCGACGAGGCGGAGGAAGGGGGGGAUGAAGUCAGGUAUCGUGCCCCUUAUAUCUUGGGCGACACACGCGCUACAAUGGGUUGGACAGAAGGGACCAAGACAGCGAUGUGGAGGAAAUCCUCAAACCAACCCCCAGUUCAGAUUGCAGGCUGCAACCCGCCUGCAUGAAGCCGGAAUCGCUAGUAAUCGCAGAUCAGCCAAGCUGCGGUGAAUACGUUCCCGGGUCU
rnacentral:rRNA from 1 species